UUAAGCGACUAAGCGUACACGGUGGAUGCCCUGGCAGUCAGAGGCGAUGAAGGACGUGCUAAUCUGCGAUAAGCGUCGGUAAGGUGAUAUGAACCGUUAUAACCGGCGAUUUCCGAAUGGGGAAACCCAGUGUGAUUCGUCACACUAUCAUUAACUGAAUCCAUAGGUUAAUGAGGCGAACCGGGGGAACUGAAACAUCUAAGUACCCCGAGGAAAAGAAAUCAACCGAGAUUCCCCCAGUAGCGGCGAGCGAACGGGGAGCAGCCCAGAGCCUGAAUCAGUGUGUGUGUUAGUGGAAGCGUCUGGAAAGGCGCGCGAUACAGGGUGACAGCCCCGUACACAAAAAUGCACAUAUUGUGAGCUCGAUGAGUAGGGCGGGACACGUGGUAUCCUGUCUGAAUAUGGGGGGACCAUCCUCCAAGGCUAAAUACUCCUGACUGACCGAUAGUGAACCAGUACCGUGAGGGAAAGGCGAAAAGAACCCCGGCGAGGGGAGUGAAAAAGAACCUGAAACCGUGUACGUACAAGCAGUGGGAGCCUCUUUAUGGGGUGACUGCGUACCUUUUGUAUAAUGGGUCAGCGACUUAUAUUCUGUAGCAAGGUUAACCGAAUAGGGGAGCCGAAGGGAAACCGAGUCUUAACUGGGCGUUAAGUUGCAGGGUAUAGACCCGAAACCCGGUGAUCUAGCCAUGGGCAGGUUGAAGGUUGGGUAACACUAACUGGAGGACCGAACCGACUAAUGUUGAAAAAUUAGCGGAUGACUUGUGGCUGGGGGUGAAAGGCCAAUCAAACCGGGAGAUAGCUGGUUCUCCCCGAAAGCUAUUUAGGUAGCGCCUCGUGAACUCAUCUCCGGGGGUAGAGCACUGUUUCGGCAAGGGGGUCAUCCCGACUUACCAACCCGAUGCAAACUGCGAAUACCGGAGAAUGUUAUCACGGGAGACACACGGCGGGUGCUAACGUCCGUCGUGAAGAGGGAAACAACCCAGACCGCCAGCUAAGGUCCCAAAGUCAUGGUUAAGUGGGAAACGAUGUGGGAAGGCCCAGACAGCCAGGAUGUUGGCUUAGAAGCAGCCAUCAUUUAAAGAAAGCGUAAUAGCUCACUGGUCGAGUCGGCCUGCGCGGAAGAUGUAACGGGGCUAAACCAUGCACCGAAGCUGCGGCAGCGACGCUGAUGCGUUGUUGGGUAGGGGAGCGUUCUGUAAGCCUGUGAAGGUGUGCUGUGAGGCAUGCUGGAGGUAUCAGAAGUGCGAAUGCUGACAUAAGUAACGAUAAAGCGGGUGAAAAGCCCGCUCGCCGGAAGACCAAGGGUUCCUGUCCAACGUUAAUCGGGGCAGGGUGAGUCGACCCCUAAGGCGAGGCCGAAAGGCGUAGUCGAUGGGAAACAGGUUAAUAUUCCUGUACUUGGUGUUACUGCGAAGGGGGGACGGAGAAGGCUAUGUUGGCCGGGCGACGGUUGUCCCGGUUUAAGCGUGUAGGCUGGUUUUCCAGGCAAAUCCGGAAAAUCAAGGCUGAGGCGUGAUGACGAGGCACUACGGUGCUGAAGCAACAAAUGCCCUGCUUCCAGGAAAAGCCUCUAAGCAUCAGGUAACAUCAAAUCGUACCCCAAACCGACACAGGUGGUCAGGUAGAGAAUACCAAGGCGCUUGAGAGAACUCGGGUGAAGGAACUAGGCAAAAUGGUGCCGUAACUUCGGGAGAAGGCACGCUGAUAUGUAGGUGAAGUCCCUCGCGGAUGGAGCUGAAAUCAGUCGAAGAUACCAGCUGGCUGCAACUGUUUAUUAAAAACACAGCACUGUGCAAACACGAAAGUGGACGUAUACGGUGUGACGCCUGCCCGGUGCCGGAAGGUUAAUUGAUGGGGUCAGCGCAAGCGAAGCUCUUGAUCGAAGCCCCGGUAAACGGCGGCCGUAACUAUAACGGUCCUAAGGUAGCGAAAUUCCUUGUCGGGUAAGUUCCGACCUGCACGAAUGGCGUAAUGAUGGCCAGGCUGUCUCCACCCGAGACUCAGUGAAAUUGAACUCGCUGUGAAGAUGCAGUGUACCCGCGGCAAGACGGAAAGACCCCGUGAACCUUUACUAUAGCUUGACACUGAACAUUGAGCCUUGAUGUGUAGGAUAGGUGGGAGGCUUAGAAGUGUGGACGCCAGUCUGCAUGGAGCCGACCUUGAAAUACCACCCUUUAAUGUUUGAUGUUCUAACGUUGACCCGUAAUCCGGGUUGCGGACAGUGUCUGGUGGGUAGUUUGACUGGGGCGGUCUCCUCCUAAAGAGUAACGGAGGAGCACGAAGGUUGGCUAAUCCUGGUCGGACAUCAGGAGGUUAGUGCAAUGGCAUAAGCCAGCUUGACUGCGAGCGUGACGGCGCGAGCAGGUGCGAAAGCAGGUCAUAGUGAUCCGGUGGUUCUGAAUGGAAGGGCCAUCGCUCAACGGAUAAAAGGUACUCCGGGGAUAACAGGCUGAUACCGCCCAAGAGUUCAUAUCGACGGCGGUGUUUGGCACCUCGAUGUCGGCUCAUCACAUCCUGGGGCUGAAGUAGGUCCCAAGGGUAUGGCUGUUCGCCAUUUAAAGUGGUACGCGAGCUGGGUUUAGAACGUCGUGAGACAGUUCGGUCCCUAUCUGCCGUGGGCGCUGGAGAACUGAGGGGGGCUGCUCCUAGUACGAGAGGACCGGAGUGGACGCAUCACUGGUGUUCGGGUUGUCAUGCCAAUGGCACUGCCCGGUAGCUAAAUGCGGAAGAGAUAAGUGCUGAAAGCAUCUAAGCACGAAACUUGCCCCGAGAUGAGUUCUCCCUGACUCCUUGAGAGUCCUGAAGGAACGUUGAAGACGACGACGUUGAUAGGCCGGGUGUGUAAGCGCAGCGAUGCGUUGAGCUAACCGGUACUAAUGAACCGUGAGGCUUAACCUU
rnacentral:rRNA from 1 species